rnacentral:rRNA from 1 species
CGCGAACGCUGGCGGCAGGCCUAACACAUGCAAGUCGAACGAAGUCUUCGGACUUAGUGGCGGACGGGUGAGUAACACGUGGGAACGUGCCUUUAGGUUCGGAAUAACUCAGGGAAACUUGUGCUAAUACCGAAUGUGCCCCUCGGGGGAAAGAUUUAUCGCCUUUAGAGCGGCCCGCGUCUGCUUAGCUAGUUGGUGAGGUAAAGGCUCACCAAGGCGACGAUCAGUAGCUGGUCUGAGAGGAUGAUCAGCCACAUUGGGACUGAGACACGGCCCAAACUCAGACGGGAGGCAGCAGUGGGGAAUCUUGCGCAAUGGGCGAAAGCCUGACGCAACCAUGCCGCGUGAAUGAUGAAGGUCUUAGGAUUGUAAAAUUCUUUCACCGGGGACGAUAAUGAUGGUACCCGGAGAAGAAGCCCCGGCUAACUUCGUGCCAGCCGCCGCCGUAA